rnacentral:rRNA from 1 species
GACGAACGCUGGCGGCGUGCCUAAUACAUGCAAGUCGAACGCUUCUUUCCUCCCGAGUGCUUGCACUCAAUUGGAAAGAGGAGUUGCGGACGGGUGAGUAACACGUCGGUAACCUACCCAUCAGCGGGGGAUAACACUUGGAAACAGGUGCUAAUACCGCAUAACAGUUUAUGCCGUAUGGCAUAAGAGUGAAAGGCGCUUUCGUGUGUCGCUGAUGGAUGGACCCGCGGUGCAUUAGCUAGUUGGUGAGGUAACGGCUCACCAAGGCGACGAUGCAUAGCCGACCUGAGAGGGUGAUCGGCCACACUGGAACUGAGACACGGCCCAGACUCCUACGGGAGGCAGCAGUAGGGAAUCUUCGGCAAUGGACGAAAGUCUGACCGAGCAACGCCGCGUGAGUGAAGAAGGUUUUCGGAUCGUAAAACUCUGUUGUUAGAGAAGAACAAGGGCGUUAGUAACUGAACGUCCCCUGACGGUAUCUAACCAGAAAGCCACGGCUAACUACGUG